rnacentral:rRNA from 1 species
AGUGAACGCUGGCGGUAGGCCUAACACAUGCAAGUCGAACGGCAGCACAGUAAGAGCUUGCUCUUACGGGUGGCGAGUGGCGGACGGGUGAGGAAUACAUCGGAAUCUACUUUUUCGGGGGGGAUAACGUAGGGAAACUUACGCUAAUACCGCAUACGACCUACGGGGGAAAGCAGGGGAUAGUCGGACCUUGCGCGAUUGAAUGAGCCGAUGUCGGAUUAGCUAGUUGGCGGGGUAAAGGCCCACCAAGGCGACGAUCCGUAGCUGGUCUGAGAGGAUGAUCAGCCACACUGGAACUUAGACACGGUCCAGACUCCUACGGGAGGCAGCAGUGGGGAAUAUUGGACAAUGGGCGCAAGCCUGAUCCAGCCAUACCGCGUGGGUGAAGAAGGCCUUCGGGUUGUAAAGCCCUUUUGUUGGGAAAGAAAAGCAGCAGGUUAAUACCCCGCUGUUCUGACGGUACCCAAAGAAUAAGCACCGGCUAACUUCGUG